CUACGGGGUGCUGCAGUGAGGAAUAUUGCACAAUGGGGGGAACCCUGAUGCAGUAACGCCGCGUGGAGGAUGACGCAUUUCGGUGUGUAAACUCCUUUUAUAUGUCAAGAAAAUGACGGUAGCAUAUGAAUAAGCACCGGCUAACUCCGUGCCAGCAGCCGCGGUAAUACGGAGGGUGCAAGCGUUACUCGGAAUCACUGGGCGUAAAGGACGCGUAGGCGGGUUGGAAAGUCAGGUGUGAAAUCCUACAGCUUAACUGUAGAACUGCACUUGAAACUUCUAAUCUAGAGUAUGGGAGGGGGAGAUGGAAUUAGUGGUGUAGGGGUAAAAUCCGUAGAUAUCACUAGGAAUACCUAAAGCGAAGGCGACCUCCUGGAACAUUACUGACGCUAAGGCGUGAAAGCGUGGGGAGCAAACAGGAUUAGAUACCCCGGUAGUC
rnacentral:rRNA from 1 species